rnacentral:misc_RNA from 1 species
UCCCCGUUAACCGGGGCAGUCCCCCUAGAGUGCCCAACUGAAUGAUGGCAACUAAAGGAGAGGGUUGCGCUCGUUGCGGGACUUAACCCAACAUCUCACGACACGAGCUGACGACAGCCAUGCAGCACCUGUGCACGAACUCCGAAGAGGGUCCGAUGUUUCCACCGGAUUUCUCGUGCAUGUCAAACCCAGGUAAGGUUCUUCGCGUUGCAUCGAAUUAAUCCACAUGCUCCGCCGCUUGUGCGGGCCCCCGUCAAUUUCUUUGAGUUUUAGCCUUGCGGCCGUACUCCCCAGGCGGGGUACUUAAUGCGUUAGCUACGGCACGGAUCCCAAGGAAGGAAACCCACACCUAGUACCCACCGUUUACGGCGUGGACUAC